AAGAAAAGGAAGAAAGCGCCCAGUAUGUUCCUAACGGAUCGUCCCGCAGCUGCCGGGCUCGGCCCCUAUUUAGACAGCUGCUGCGCAUCGCGCGUCCCGGAGCUGCCGGGAACCGAGUGCUUGUGAUGUUGCAGAUGAAGUCUUAAAGAGCUGCAGUGUCCUCCCAGAAGGAAUGUCUGCUUGGAACAGAUCCUUAUUGACAAGGCAGCUGCGUGGGGACCGGAACGGAGCCUUAAACCCGGCUCUAACACCAACUAAUACCCUAAAGUCUGGAGCAAGUGCGCAGAAUUACAGCGGUGGGCUCGAAGCCUCCCGCAGGAGCGGUGCCACGGCCGCACCGAGCCCGGGACGCGCUUCCCACCCCUUUCCCUUUAUUACGAUGCGUUCCCCUUGUUAAUUUUCCAAGAAAAUUUGGGAAUCACAGACCUGAGGGUUCGUCCCUUCAGGGCUAAGGGCUGAAGGACGCAAAGUGGGGCCGUGGGGAGCCCUUUUUUUUUUUUUUUUUGUAACGAGAGCGGCUUCUCCCUGCCAGUCCUUUCCUAAGGCCGAACCCGGACGUUGGGGCUCAGUCCCGAGCGGGGCCGCACCGCUCCGCGCCCCACAGCGCCCGCGGAUCGAACGGGGCUGUGCCCGCGGGGCCGCUCCCAGCCCUGUGCGUUACCGCCUGCUUUUCCUACAAAAAAGUUUUCGCUUCAAACCAUCCGAAAGAAGUAAAACGGCACGGAUAUCCGAACCUCACGCUCCGUUUAGCCCCAUAAAUUCAGACGAGAAAUUGUUUCGAAGCGCUCGAAUAAAAGCAAAAGAACGGAGCUCGAAGCGAACGGCCGAACAGCGACCGGAGCGGUUCUGUGCCGCAUGGAUCAGGCUCAACCCGGCUCUUGCGCAGGAGCGCAAAUCUCCGCGAGUUUAUUCGAUGCGGAGCGGGGAUGGGGGCAGAGCCAGGGCAGCGCUCGGCCGUUUUUUACCGAUUUCGCAGA